rnacentral:sRNA from 1 species
GCCAGGCAUGGUGGCUCAAGCCUGUAAUCCCAGCACCUCGGGAGGCUGAGGCAGGAGGAUCAUAAGUUGAAAGCCAGCCUUAGCAAAUGCAAGGCACUAAGCAACUCAGUGAGACCCUGUUUCUA